rnacentral:rRNA from 1 species
GACGAACGCUGGCGGCGUGCUUAACACAUGCUAGUCGAACGGAAAGGCCCCUUUGGGGGUACUCGAGUGGCGAACGGGUGAGUAACACGUGAGUAACCUGCCCUUGACUUCGGGAUAACUUCAGGAAACUGGGGCUAAUACCGGAUAGGAAUCCUUGCUGCAUGGUGGGGGUUGGAAAGCUUCGGCGGUUUUGGAUGGACUCGCGGCGUAUCAGCUUGUUGGUGGGGUAGUGGCUUACCAAGGCUUUGACGGGUAGCCGGCCUGAGAGGGCGACCGGCCACAUUGGGACUGAGAUACGGCCCAGACUCCUACGGGAGGCAGCAGUGGGGAAUAUUGCACAAUGGGCGGAAGCCUGAUGCAGCAACGCCGCGUGCGGGAUGACGGCCUUCGGGUUGUAAACCGCUUUCAGCAGGGGCGAAGCUUGUGGUGACGGUACCUGCAGAAGAAGCACCGGCUAACUACGUG